rnacentral:rRNA from 1 species
UACGGAGGGUGCAAGCGUUAUCCGGAUUCACUGGGUUUAAAGGGUGCGUAGGUGGGUUUGUAAGUCAGUGGUGAAAUCUCCAAGCUUAACUUGGAAACUGCCGUUGAUACUAUAAAUCUUGAAUGUUGUGGAGGUGAGCGGAAUAUGUCAUGUAGCGGUGAAGUGCUUAGAUAUGACAUAGAACACCAAUUGCGAAGGCAGCUCACUACACAAAGAUUGACACUGAGGCACGAAAGCGUGGGGAUCAAACAGG